UAAAGCACGGAUUGACUUUGUCGGGUUCACCGUCACAAUACGCUUCUUCCCAUGAUUUUACGCUUUCAGUUUGAAUUUAAAACAUAUUCGAGGUGGUACUAAAUUUUCGCUCUAUCUAUUUCGCCGCGUCUGAUUUUUUUCCGUAAGUGGCUGAUUCGCUAAACUGGGCCUGCAUCCAUGCUCAAUUGUGUCCAUCGUAGUUCACCGUCGUUUUCCAUAUCUGGCUGUAUGUGCGUGUGCUUGAAUUAAAGGAAAUUAGAGAAAAAAUAUGGUUGACGCCGCUGGGAUUUGAUCCAUGGUCUGCCAUGUAUAGAUUGCAGCGCAGCAGACCACUAAGGCUAGGCUCCUAAGCUUGCUAAUUUGGGCGUCUGGAACCUUAAGAAUAAAGGACAGGCAUACUCGGGCCGAGAUCAACAGGCACGGUCGUGAUGGGCAUGUACGAGUGCCGCGGCCCACUGGACGGACAAGGGACCAGGCUGGAAGUUGUUUUUCAUAUUUGUUUACUUGUCAAAUAGUCCCACCUUGCUAUUUUACAUUAAUUUUUACCAGUUUAUAUACAAUUUUUAGGUUGUCAGAUAUCAAGAAGCUGCUUUGGAAAUUAAGCAAAGAAAUAAAGAAAGGAAAUAGACAUUCUUUGCAUGAGAAAUAAAGAAGGAAGAUGGUAAUUAUGUGGAGCCGGCAAGAAAGGCCUAGCAAAAAAGGAAAAAAUAAUUGCAUGAGAAAUAAAGAAGGAAGGAGAAAGAGAGAGGAAGGAAAUGGACGGUAAUUAUGUGGGCAUCAUGAUAUAAGGAAAGAAAGAGAAAGAAAAACUAAUUAAGAGGAGGUGCGGGAAUCAAUGGCAGGUUGCCAUGCCAUCUUAUGAGUAAAAAUGAUGUGGCAUUUUUUAAUCCUCACUAAAUUCAUGUCAUUUUUUUCUUCCAUUAUGUUUUCCUUGCUCUUAUAAUCUUUACUAAAUUUGCGCCAAAUUUGUAGCACAUUGAACAUUAUGUUUGCACAUACAAUCCUCACUAAAUUUAUGUCAAAUGUUUCAA